rnacentral:rRNA from 1 species
AAACUGAUCUCCCCGUGAAGAAGCGGGGAUAACUAUAUAAGACGAGAAGACCCCAUGGAGCUUUAAACCCAGCAACACCUAUCUUUAUACACCCUUAUAUUCACGUAACUCUACUUGCUCGGUUUUAGGUUGGGGUGACCGCGGAGCACAACAAAACCUCCACGAAAAAAGGACCAACAAUCCUUAUCCAAGAUGCACAUAUCUAAGAAUUAAUAUAUUAACUUUUAAUGAUCCGUUAUUCGAUCAACGAACCAAGUUACCCUGGGGAUAACAGCGCAAUCUACCUCGAGAGCUCCUAUCGACAGGUAGGUUUACGACCUCGAUGUUGGAUCAGGGUAUCCCAGUGGUGCAGCAGCUACUAAAGGUUCGUUUGUUCAACGAUUAAAACCCU